UCCUCUGGAUCUCUAAUCAAACCAUUGCUCUGCUCACAGUCUACAACACGAAUGCAUGUAGUAAUCAAAAGAGUACUCAUGAUAACACGAGCCAGCUCCCUCACAGGCAUUUCCACGAACACAUUGAGCACACCAUCAAAUCGACCAACGCAAUCGGAGUUUCAAACCAACAGCUAGAGAAACUCAUCAAUCGAGCGGCGGUGUGCAGCCAUCGUCGCCAUGAGCAGUUGUAA
rnacentral:lncRNA from 1 species